rnacentral:rRNA from 1 species
UGGAAAGGCGCGCGAUACAGGGUGACAGCCCCGUACACAAAAAUGCACAUAUUGUGAGCUCGAUGAGUAGGGCGGGACACGUGGUAUCCUGUCUGAAUAUGGGGGGACCAUCCUCCAAGGCUAAAUACUCCUGACUGACCGAUAGUGAACCAGUACCGUGAGGGAAAGGCGAAAAGAACCCCGGCGAGGGGAGUGAAAAAGAACCUGAAACCGUGUACGUACAAGCAGUGGGAGCACGCUUAGGCGUGUGACUGCGUACCUUUUGUAUAAUGGGUCAGCGACUUAUAUUCUGUAGCAAGGUUAACCGAAUAGGGGAGCCGAAGGGAAACCGAGUCUUAACUGGGCGUUAAGUUGCAGGGUAUAGACCCGAAACCCGGUGAUCUAGCCAUGGGCAGGUUGAAGGUUGGGUAACACUAACUGGAGGACCGAACCGACUAAUGUUGAAAAAUUAGCGGAUGACUUGUGGCUGGGGGUGAAAGGCCAAUCAAACCGGGAGAUAGCUGGUUCUCCCCGAAAGCUAUUUAGGUAGCGCCUCGUGAAUUCAUCUCCGGGGGUAGAGCACUGUUUCGGCAAGGGGGUCAUCCCGACUUACCAACCCGAUGCAAACUGCGAAUACCGGAGAAUGUUAUCACGGGAGACACACGGCGGGUGCUAACGUCCGUCGUGAAGAGGGAAACAACCCAGACCGCCAGCUAAGGUCCCAAAGUCAUGGUUAAGUGGGAAACGAUGUGGGAAGGCCCAGACAGCCAGGAUGUUGGCUUAGAAGCAGCCAUCAUUUAAAGAAAGCGUAAUAGCUCACUGGUCGAGUCGGCCUGCGCGGAAGAUGUAACGGGGCUAAACCAUGCACCGAAGCUGCGGCAGCGACGCUGAUGCGUUGUUGGGUAGGGGAGCGUUCUGUAAGCCUGCGAAGGUGUGCUGUGAGGCAUGCUGGAGGUAUCAGAAGUGCGAAUGCUGACAUAAGUAACGAUAAAGCGGGUGAAAAGCCCGCUCGCCGGAAGACCAAGGGUUCCUGUCCAACGUUAAUCGGGGCAGGGUGAGUCGACCCCUAAGGCGAGGCCGAAAGGCGUAGUCGAUGGGAAACAGGUUAAUAUUCCUGUACUUGGUGUUACUGCGAAGGGGGGACGGAGAAGGCUAUGUUGGCCGGGCGACGGUUGUCCCGGUUUAAGCGUGUAGGCUGGUUUUCCAGGCAAAUCCGGAAAAUCAAGGCUGAGGCGUGAUGACGAGGCACUACGGUGCUGAAGCAACAAAUGCCCUGCUUCCAGGAAAAGCCUCUAAGCAUCAGGUAACAUCAAAUCGUACCCCAAACCGACACAGGUGGUCAGGUAGAGAAUACCAAGGCGCUUGAGAGAACUCGGGUGAAGGAACUAGGCAAAAUGGUGCCGUAACUUCGGGAGAAGGCACGCUGAUAUGUAGGUGAGGUCCCUCGCGGAUGGAGCUGAAAUCAGUCGAAGAUACCAGCUGGCUGCAACUGUUUAUUAAAAACACAGCACUGUGCAAACACGAAAGUGGACGUAUACGGUGUGACGCCUGCCCGGUGCCGGAAGGUUAAUUGAUGGGGUUAGCGCAAGCGAAGCUCUUGAUCGAAGCCCCGGUAAACGGCGGCCGUAACUAUAACGGUCCUAAGGUAGCGAAAUUCCUUGUCGGGUAAGUUCCGACCUGCACGAAUGGCGUAAUGAUGGCCAGGCUGUCUCCACCCGAGACUCAGUGAAAUUGAACUCGCUGUGAAGAUGCAGUGUACCCGCGGCAAGACGGAAAGACCCCGUGAACCUUUACUAUAGCUUGACACUGAACAUUGAGCCUUGAUGUGUAGGAUAGGUGGGAGGCUUAGAAGUGUGGACGCCAGUCUGCAUGGAGCCGACCUUGAAAUACCACCCUUUAAUGUUUGAUGUUCUAACGUUGACCCGUAAUCCGGGUUGCGGACAGUGUCUGGUGGGUAGUUUGACUGGGGCGGUCUCCUCCUAAAGAGUAACGGAGGAGCACGAAGGUUGGCUAAUCCUGGUCGGACAUCAGGAGGUUAGUGCAAUGGCAUAAGCCAGCUUGACUGCGAGCGUGACGGCGCGAGCAGGUGCGAAAGCAGGUCAUAGUGAUCCGGUGGUUCUGAAUGGAAGGGCCAUCGCUCAACGGAUAAAAGGUACUCCGGGGAUAACAGGCUGAUACCGCCCAAGAGUUCAUAUCGACGGCGGUGUUUGGCACCUCGAUGUCGGCUCAUCACAUCCUGGGGCUGAAGUAGGUCCCAAGGGUAUGGCUGUUCGCCAUUUAAAGUGGUACGCGAGCUGGGUUUAGAACGUCGUGAGACAGUUCGGUCCCUAUCUGCCGUGGGCGCUGGAGAACUGAGGGGGGCUGCUCCUAGUACGAGAGGACCGGAGUGGACGCAUCACUGGUGUUCGGGUUGUCAUGCCAAUGGCACUGCCCGGUAGCUAAAUGCGGAAGAGAUAAGUGCUGAAAGCAUCUAAGCACGAAACUUGCCCCGAGAUGAGUUCUCCCUGAC